rnacentral:rRNA from 1 species
GCGGUUUGUCACGUCUGCUGUGAAAGCCCGGGGCUCAACCCCCGGGUGUGCAGUGGGUACGGGCAGACUAGAGUGCAGUAGGGGAGACUGGAAUUCCUGGUGUAGCGGUGAAAUGCGCAGAUAUCAGGAGGAACACCGAUGGCGAAGGCAGGUCUCUGGGCUGUUACUGACGCUGAGGAGCGAAAGCAUGGGGAGCGAACAGGAUUAGAUACCCUGGUAGUCCAUGCCGUAAACGUUGGGCACUAGGUGUGGGGGACAUUCCACGUUUUCCGCGCCGUAGCUAACGCAUUAAGUGCCCCGCCUGGGGAGUACGGCCGCAAGGCUAAAACUCAAAGGAAUUGACGGGGGCCCGCACAAGCGGCGGAGCAUGCGGAUUAAUUCGAUGCAACGCGAAGAACCUUACCAAGGCUUGACAUGGACCGGACCGCUGCAGAGAUGCAGCUUCCCUUCGGGGUCGGUUCACAGGUGGUGCAUGGUUGUCGUCAGCUCGUGUCGUGAGAUGUUGGGUUAAGUCCCGCAACGAGCGCAACCCCUAUCCUAUGUUGCCAGCACGUUAUGGUGGGGACUCAUGGGAGACUGCCGGGGUCAACUCGGAGGAAGGUGGGGACGACGUCAAAUCAUCAUGCCCCUUAUGUCUUGGGCUUCACGCAUGCUACAAUGGCCGGUACAAUGGGUUGCGAUACUGUGAGGUGGAGCUAAUCCCUAAAAGCCGGUCUCAGUUCGGAUCGAAGUCUGCAACUCGACUUCGUGAAGUUGGAGUCGCUAGUAAUCGCAGAUCAGCAACGCUGCGGUGAAUACGUUCCCGGGCCUUGUACACACCGCCCGUCAAGUCACGAAAGUUGGUAACACCCGAAGCCGGUGGCCUAACCCUGUG